UUAACACAUGCAAGUCGAGGGGCAGCAUGGUCUUUGCUUGCUAAGGCCGAUGGCGACCGGCGCACGGGUGAGUAACACGUAUCCAACCUGCCGUCUACUCUUGGACAGCCUUCUGAAAGGAAGAUUAAUACAAGAUGGCAUCAUGAGUCCGCAUGUUCACAUGAUUAAAGGUAUUCCGGUAGACGAUGGGGAUGCGUUCCAUUAGAUAGUAGGCGGGGUAACGGCCCACCUAGUCUUCGAUGGAUAGGGGUUCUGAGAGGAAGGUCCCCCACAUUGGAACUGAGACACGGUCCAAACUCCUACGGGAGGCAGCAGUGAGGAAUAUUGGUCAAUGGGCGAGAGCCUGAACCAGCCAAGUAGCGUGAAGGAUGACUGCCCUAUGGGUUGUAAACUUCUUUUAUAAAGGAAUAAAGUCGGGUAUGGAUACCCGUUUGCAUGUACUUUAUGAAUAAGGAUCGGCUAACUCCGUGCCAGCAGCCGCGGUAAUACGGAGGAUCCGAGCGUUAUCCGGAUUUAUUGGGUUUAAAGGGAGCGUAGAUGGAUGUUUAAGUCAGUUGUGAAAGUUUGCGGCUCAACCGUAAAAUUGCAGUUGAUACUGGAUAUCUUGAGUGCAGUUGAGGCAGGCGGAAUUCGUGGUGUAGCGGUGAAAUGCUUAGAUAUCACGAAGAACUCCGAUUGCGAAGGCAGCCUGCUAAGCUGCAACUGACAUUGAGGCUCGAAAGUGUGGGUAUCAAACAGGAUUAGAUACCCUGGUAGUCCACACGGUAAACGAUGAAUACUCGCUGUUUGCGAUAUACUGCAAGCGGCCAAGCGAAAGCGUUAAGUAUUCCACCUGGGGAGUACGCCGGCAACGGUGAAACUCAAAGGAAUUGACGGGGGCCCGCACAAGCGGAGGAACAUGUGGUUUAAUUCGAUGAUACGCGAGGAACCCUACCCGGGCUUAAAUUGCAGAUGAAUUACGGUGAAAGCCGUAAGCCGCAAGGCAUCUGUGAAGGUGCUGCAUGGUUGUCGUCAGCUCGUGCCGUGAGGUGUCGGCUUAAGUGCCAUAACGAGCGCAACCCUUGUUGUCAGUUACUAACAGGUUCCGCUGAGGACUCUGACAAGACUGCCAUCGUAAGAUGUGAGGAAGGUGGGGAUGACGUCAAAUCAGCACGGCCCUUACGUCCGGGGCUACACACGUGUUACAAUGGGGGGUACAGAGGGCCGCUACCACGCGAGUGGAUGCCAAUCCCCAAAACCUCUCUCAGUUCGGACUGGAGUCUGCAACCCGACUCCACGAAGCUGGAUUCGCUAGUAAUCGCGCAUCAGCCACGGCGCGGUGAAUACGUUCCCGGGCCUUGUACACACCGCCCGUCAAGCCAUGGGAGCCGGGGGUACCUGAAGUGCGUAACCGCGAGGAGCGCCCUAGGGUAAAACUGGUGACUGGGGC
rnacentral:rRNA from 1 species